AUGUGUAUAUAUAUAUAUAUAUAUAUACACAUAUAUAUAUAUAUAUAUGUGUGUGUGUGUAUAUAUAUAUAUGUGUGUGUGU